rnacentral:misc_RNA from 1 species
GAUGAAGAACGUAGCGAAAUGCGAUAAGUAAUGUGAAUUGCAGAAUUCCGUGAAUCAUCGAAUCUUUGAACGCACAUUGCGCCCUUUGGUAUUCCUUAGGGCAUGCCUGUUCGAGCGUCAUUUAAACCUUCAAGCUAAGCUUGGUGUUGGGUGACUGUCCGCUUCACGGCGGACUCGCCUCAAAAUUAUUGGCGGCCGGUACAUUGGCUUCGAGCGCAGCAGAAACGCGAACUCGGGCCCGUCGUAUUGGCUCCCAGAAGCUAUCUUCACAAUUUUGACCUCGGAUCAGGUAGGGAUAGCCGCUGAACUUAAGCAUAUCAAUAAGCGGAGGA